rnacentral:tRNA from 1 species
GGGGCUGUAGCUCAGCGGGAGAGCACUACGCUGGCAGCGUAGGGGUCGAGGGUUCAAAUCCCUCCAGCUCCA